UGAUAGAGGUGCGGUUUUCAUCAGUACCGGGGAGCAAGAGGCAGGACCGCCGCUCCCGGGAAAGGGGACGCCGCCGAAGGGCGCGCUGCCGGUCCGGGCAGCCCGUUCUGGGAUGCCGCAGAAGAUGCGGGCAUACUGUCACGAUAAGUGGAGCGCUAUCUG
rnacentral:ncRNA from 1 species